rnacentral:lncRNA from 1 species
AACAUUUUGGCCACAAAUUCAAAGUGAGACCAGUCAGCUUUAUUCUUAGAUUUUUUUUCCCCCAGCAGGUUAAAUUGCUGGGGAAAGUUUUGGAUGGGUGUAAGAGAUGACUGGGCUGACCUGAGCUGCACCAUUUGCAAAGAACUGACCUGAAUGAUCGAAGAUAGACAACUGACUCAAGAGACCAAAUCUGGGACCCAGCACUCAGGGUCCUUUCGCAAAUCUCACACCUAACCAUCCCACCAACCUUGAGCCAAAGCCUUCCUGUGGGCAUGUAUUGGGGCCAUAAAAACAGUUUUCAAGAUAAUAAAGGCAACUCCUUGGACAAAGUUCAACUGAAUGAUAUAACAAUAUAAACUGAAAUCACCCUCACCGAAAAGAAGGAAGAAUAAGGAAGCAAAGAAAUUCACAGCUGACAGGGUCCAUCAUCAACCUUAGAUCAGCUUAAUUUGUUUUACCAAAAAAGUCUAUGAAAUAUUCACAAUAGCAAGCCAUUAGAACAGGCACAAUUGUACUUGAACUUCCAAAACUCUUUUCCACCUGUUCAGUAGGUUUGACAACUAUUUCCUUUAUCAUAGAAAAAAAGAAAAUUAAGUGG